UGGUGGGGAAAGGAGGUGAAGGUCUGUCCUUCUGUUGUUGCUCUGGGCUGGUGUCCCUGUUCAGCACUAAAGGAAAGUGCAGCCUUGCAAGCAGACACUGCUUGGAAGCAGGAGCUGGAGACACCUGAAUUGGCUGACUCUGAAGAUGUCAUAAUCAAGGAGGAGACACUAAUGAGAAGCUGCUGGUGAAUUUGGCAUUUCUCAGUCACUUCCAUGUGAAUACCUGGAGAAAACACUGCAUUGACAACUGCCAGAGUGAACUGAAAGCUACAUGAGAGUGGGGAUGUUGGCUUCUCUGAAUAAUCAAGACUCCUGAAUAAUCAAGAAUCAACAGUCCUAUCAAUAGAUAGAAAGGUGACACACUGACUUAUAAGCAAGGAGAUUCUUUCUGGGCUUGUGAUUCCACAGUUAUCCAAUACAGAGCUGGUGACAGUUGUCUUUUGCACCAGACUCAUCAUGCA